AUGUGGUGAAAUGGGACGGUUUUCUUUCUUUUGUGUUUCUCUUCUCUUUUUUCUUCUGUCUUUGUCUUUCUCUUCGCUUUUGU
rnacentral:ribozyme from 1 species